AACGAACGCUGGCAGCAGGCUUAACACAUGCAAGUCGAGCGCCCUGCAAGGGGAGCGGCCGGCGGGCGAGUAACGCGUGGGAAUCUACCAAUCCUUACGGACUAACGCAUGGAACCGUGUGCUAAUUACGUAUACGUACUUCGGGUGCAAGAUUUAUCGGGGAUGGAUGAGCCAGCGUUGGAUUAGCUAGUUGGUGGGGUAAAGGCCUAUCAAGGCGACGAUACAUAGCUGGUCUGAGAGGAGGAGCAGCCACACUGGGACUGAGACACGGCCCAGACUCCUACGGGAGGCAGCAGUGGGGAAUAUUGGACAAUGGGCGCAAGCCUGAUCCAGCCAUGCCGCGUGAGUGAUGAAGGCCCUAGGGUUGUAAAGCUCUUUCACCGGUGAAGAUAAUGACGGUAACCGCAGAAGAAGCCCCGGCUAACUUCGUGCCAGCCGCCGCGGUAAGAC
rnacentral:rRNA from 1 species